rnacentral:rRNA from 1 species
AUGGCGUGGAGCAACCAUCGCGAUGUCUAUAUCAUCAGGUGUCCGUCAUGCCGCCGCCAAGAGCAAGCCACCGCUACCAAGGGAGAGAAGGCCACUGCAGCCCAAGCCAAGCAGGAGGAGGCGCUCGCCGCUCCACACCAAGCAGAGGUGCACUCCGCCAAUCACGGCGCCCAUGCAAAGGAGGAGGUGCUCGUUGCCCGUCACUUUGCCAGAGCCAAGUACGAGAAGUGCAAGGCCUGUGAUGCUCACGAUCGAGCGGAGCAGCAGUAG